rnacentral:tRNA from 1 species
GGGGAGGUCGCAUAGUGGCCUAGUGCGGCGGUUUGCUAAACCGCUGUAGGAGCAAUCCUACCGAGGGUUCGAAUCCCUCCCUCCCCG